rnacentral:rRNA from 1 species
UACGGAGGGGGCAAGCGUUGUUCCGGAAUUAUUGGGCGUAAAGGGCAUGUAGGCGGUUCGGUAAGUUAAAGGUGAAAUGCCAGGGCUUAACCCUGGAGCUGCUUUUAAUACUGCCAGACUAGAGACCGGGAGAGGAUAGCGGAAUUCCUAGUGUAGAGGUGAAAUUCGUAGAUAUUA